UUAAAUUGAAGAGUUUGAUCAUGGCUCAGAUUGAACGCUGGCGGCAGGCCUAACACAUGCAAGUCGAGCGGAAACGACA
rnacentral:rRNA from 7 species